rnacentral:rRNA from 2 species
GAAGUUUUCAGAGAUGAGAGUGUGCCUUCGGGAACCGUGAGACAGGUGCUGCAUGGCUGUCGUCAGCUCGUGUUGUGAAAUGUUGGGUUAAGUCCCGCAACGAGCGCAACCCUUAUCCUUUGUUGCCAGCGGUCCGGCCGGGAACUCAAAGGAGACUGCCAGUGAUAAACUGGAGGAAGGUGGGGAUGACGUCAAGUCAUCAUGGCCCUUACGACCAGGGCUACACACGUGCUACAAUGGCGCAUACAAAGAGAAGCGACCUCGCGAGAGCAAGCGGACCUCAUAAAGUGCGUCGUAGUCCGGAUUGGAGUCUGCAACUCGACUCCAUGAAGUCGGAAUCGCUAGUAAUCGUGGAUCAGAAUGCCACGGUGAAUACGUUCCCGGGCCUUGUACACACCGCCCGUCACACCAUGGGAGUGGGUUGCAAAAGAAGUAGGUAGCUUAACCUUCGGGAGGGCGCUUACCACUUUGUGAUUCAUGACUGGGGUGAAGUCGUAACAAGGUAACCGUAGGGGAACCUGCGGUUGGAUCACCUCCUUACCUUAAAGAA